GAACUGCGAAUGGCUCAUUACACCAGCCUUAAUUUACUUGACCUUGACACCCUACUUGGAUAACUGUGGUAAUUCUAGAGCUAAUACAUGCACCAAAGCUCCAAUCUCCCCAGAGCGGAGCGCAUUUGUUCGCCACAAAACCAAGCGCCUCAGGGCGUUCAGUGUUGACUCAGAACAACUAAGCUGAUCGCACGGUCUUGCACCGGCGACGUGUCUUUCAAGUGUCUGCCUUAUCAACUUUCGAUGGUAGUGUAUCUGACUACCAUGGUGGUGACGGGUAACGGAGGAUAAGGGUUCGACUCCGGAGAAGGGGCCUGAGAAAUGGCCACUACGUCUAAGGAUGGCAGCAGGCGCGCAAAUUACCCACUCUCGACGCGAGGAGGUAGUGACGAGAAAUAACGAGACCGUUCUCAUCUGAGGCCGGUCAUCGGAAUGGGUACAAUUUAAACCCUUUAACGAGUAUCUAUGAGAGGGCAAGUCUGGUGCCAGCAGCCGCGGUAAUUCCAGCUCUCAAAAUGCAUAGAAUUAUUGCUGCGGUUAAAAAGCUCGUAGUUGGAUCUGUGCUGAGCGACCGGUCUGCCCACUGGGCACGCACUGGCUCGCCCGGCUUUCCCUGCCGGUCUCUCUCUGACGUUGGUUUUAACCGGCUGGCGUCAGUGGGCUGGCGAGUUUACUUUGAACAAAUCAGAGUGCUUCAAACAGGCGUCUCGCCUGAAUGUUCGUGCAUGGAAUAAUAGAAGAGGAUCACGGUCCGAUUUUAUUGGUUUUGCUGACCGAGAUAAUGGUUAACAGAGACAAACGGGGCCAUUCGUAUUGCUACGUGAGAGGUGAAAUUCUUGGACCGUAGCAAGACGGACUACAGCGAAAGCAUUUGGCAAGAAUGUCUUCAUUAAUCAAGAACGAAAGUCAGAGGUUCGAAGGCGAUCAGAUACCGCCCUAGUUCUGACCGUAAACGAUGCCAACUAGCGAUCCGCCGGCGGAUUCAUUCGCCCUGGUGGGGAGCUUCCCGGAAACGAAAGUCUUCCGGUUCCGGGGGAAGUAUGGUUGCAAAGCUGAAACUUAAAGGAAUUGACGGAAGGGCACCACCAGGAGUGGAGCCUGCGGCUUAAUUUGACUCAACACGGGGAAACUCACCCGGCCCGGACACCGUAAGGAUUGACAGAUUGAUAGCUUUUUCAUGAUUCGGUGGAUGGUGGUGCAUGGCCGUUCUUAGUUCGUGGAGCGAUUUGUCUGGUUUAUUCCGAUAACGAGCGAGACUCUGGCCUACUAAAUAGUUGGCACAUUGCCACUGUGUGCACAACUUCUUAGAGGGAUUUUCGGUGUUCAGCCGCACGAAAUUGAGCAAUAACAGGUCUGUGAUGCCCUUAGAUGUCCGGGGCUGCACGCGCGCUACACUGGCAAAAUCAGCGUGCUUGUCCUCCCCCGAAAGGGGUUGGUAAACCGAUGAAAAUUUGCCGUGAUUGGGAUCGGACAUUGCAAUUAUUGUCCGUGAACGAGGAAUCCCUUGUAAGGGCGAGUCAUCAACUCGUCCUGAAUACGUCCCUGCCCUUUGUACACACCGCCCGUCGCUGCCCGGGACUGAGCCAUUUCGAGAAAACCGGGGAUUGUUGGCCUGACGGCUCUCGGGUCGUCUAGCCGAUGAGAACCGGCUUAAUCGCACUGGUUUGAACCGGGCAAAAGUCGUAACAAGGUAGCUGUAGGUGAACCUGCAGAAGGAUCA
rnacentral:rRNA from 1 species